GGAGGACUGAGUCCAAGAAGGGUAGAGGAGCUGGAACCAGAUAUACAGAGAACAGAAAAGAAGCUUUCACUGGAAGAUAGUAUGGUCAGGGUCAAAGGACAAGCCACGAAGGGGACAAGGUAGGGGGCAUGUCCCUCUCUUGCCUGCACUGUGCAUGACUCCUCCCCUCCCUCACUCUGCUGACUCACUGCUCUGAAGCCUGGCAGCCCUGCUCCGUAACCCUUUCCUCUCUGGUUUUAUGCUGUACAAACACACACACACACAAUGAUUAUCGGAGAUUGCCUGUACUCUGCCAAAGACAAUAAGGAAAAAUCUGUCCAACCGGUGUGCUAUUCUAAUCUGUCUCUCAAUAUAUUAAAGGAGGUAAGGAGAAGAGAACAGAUAAAGGGAAGAGAGGUUACAUAAGUGCCCUCUAUAAGCAUAUUUCUUAUUGUCUCUUCUCCCUGUGUAUACAGAGGUGGUUUGUCCAAUAAACAUUAUUUACUACUUUUAUUAUAUCACCUACUGAAGGAAUAUAUUUCUAAACGGUAGAGAGAAACUA